GAUGAACGCUAGCGGCAGGCCUAAUACAUGCAAGCUGAACGGUAAGAUUUGUAGCAAUACGGAUCCUAGAGUAGCGUAAGGGUGCGUAACACGUAUGCAAUCUACCCGCAACAGGAGGAUAGCUCUUCGAAAGAGGAAUUAAGACUCCAUAAUACCAUUUGAGGGCAUCUGAGGAUGGUUAAACUACAAGGGGUUGCGGAUGAGCAUGCGUCUGAUUAGUUAGUUGGCGGGGUAACGGCCCACCAAGACGAUGAUCAGUAGGGGAACUGAGGGGUUGGUCCCCCCCACUGGCACUGGGAUACGGGCCAGGCUCCUACGGGAGGCAGCAGUAGGGAAUAUUGGACAAUGGGUGCAAGCCUGAUCCAGCCAUGCCGCGUGCAGGAAGAAAGCCUUCUGGGUUGUAAACUGCUUUUUUCAGGGGAUAAAAUACCGGUGCGCCGGGAAUUGCAAGUACCUGGAGAAUAAGCCACGGCUAACUACGUGCCAGCCGCCGCCGUAACAC
rnacentral:rRNA from 1 species